UAGUGGCGAACGGGUGAGUAACACGUGGGCAAUCUGCCCUUCACUCUGGGACAAGCCCUGGAAACGGGGUCUAAUACCGGAUAAUACCUUCUCGGGCAUCUGAGGGGGUUGAAAGCUCCGGCGGUGAAGGAUGAGCCCGCGGCCUAUCAGCUUGUUGGUGGGGUGAUGGCCUACCAAGGCGACGACGGGUAGCCGGCCUGAGAGGGCGACCGGCCACACUGGGACUGAGACACGGCCCAGACUCCUACGGGAGGCAGCAGUGGGGAAUAUUGCACAAUGGGCGAAAGCCUGAUGCAGCGACGCCGCGUGAGGGAUGACGGCCUUCGGGUUGUAAACCUCUUUCAGCAGGGAAGAAGCGCAAGUGACGGUACCUGCAGAAGAAGCACCGGCUAACUACGUGCCAGCAGCCGCGGUAAUACGUAGGGUGCGAGCGUUGUCCGGAAUUAUUGGGCGUAAAGAGCUCGUAGGCGGCUUGUCACGUCGGUUGUGAAAGCCCGGGGCUUAACCCCGGGUCUGCAGUCGAUACGGGCAGGCUAGAGUGUGGUAGGGGAGAUCGGAAUUCCU
rnacentral:rRNA from 1 species